UACGGAGGAUGCGAGCGUUAUCCAGAUUUAUUGGGUUUAAAGGGUGCGUAGGCGGGCUUUUAAGUCAGCGGUAAAAAUUCGGGGCUCAACCCCGUCCGGCCGUUGAAACUGGGGGCCUUGAGUGGGCGAGAAGAAGGCGGAAUGCGUGGUGUAGCGGUGAAAUGCAUAGAUAUCACGCAGAACCCCGAUUGCGAAGGCAGCCUUCCGGCGCCCUACUGACGCUGAGGCACGAAAGUGCGGGGAUCGAACAGG
rnacentral:rRNA from 1 species